GUGAGAUGGAUAACAGAAAGCGCAAAUGCGACGCUGAAAAGUCCGGAAUAAAUAAGAAGAAAGCUUUGGAAACUGACGCAGCUAAAUGUUCUAAGCUGAGCACAUUCUUCCUAAAAAAAAAACCAAACAAACGGAGACGAGGAGGCCGCUGUUCAACAGUGAAGAGCAAGGCCCGGUAACGUUACCAAGCCCCAGUCAUGAGCCCAACACAUCAGAAUGGACAGCUCACCUUGGCUGUGGGAACAUCACCUGUGAGCUGAAAUAUCACCGUCCCGAUCGAUGCAGCUGACGGAUGAGGACAGGCGCUGGAGAAUAAACUACAGAGGGAUUCGAGUGGAGAGAUGAGAUUCACACGGCCUUCUGUCUCUGGAGAUCUCUGUCAUCUGAAGCAUCAUCUGCCCUCAGCCGGACGUCUGGACCCUGUUACUGACCCUCAUCAUUAAUGCUGACGUGUGGAGGACACGCUGACCUUCAGCUAUUUUCCGUCUCACAGGAGCAUACCAGCGGUCAGGAGGAAGUGCAAUCACAGGCUCUGCUUUAAAAGCUUUACAAGACAGAUGUUUACACAUGCAUUGGGACCAAACCAGGAGAUGCACACAGCUGCAUGCACACGCUCCUGAGGACGAUAAGUGGGGCUGGCAGUCCUGGUCAACACCAGAGGGCUUGAGUUGACUCUUGACUCUCGUGAAUCGAAACUCAUCUCAUCCUACGCAGAGGAAGGACAGAGACCUCUUUCCACAAACAAUCACUCGCUUUAGCCGUCCAAAAACAGAAAUGCUUCAAUUCGAGCCGGCGAUUCUGCAGGAAGGACGGGAUCGUUUACCUUCUUCAAGUCGUACUGCAGCUGUCUCAGGAUGACCUCCAGCUGAUUGACUUUGCCUGUCAGCGUGGCUGGAGACGUAUCACUGAGGAGCGAGACAGAGCUGUAAGUCUGGG